UACGUAGGUGGCAAGCGUUGUCCGGAUUUAUUGGGCGUAAAGGGAGCGCAGGCGGUGACUUAAGUCGGCGGUGAAAUUUUGCAGCUCAACUGUAAAAGUGCCUUCGAAACUGGUUUCCUUGAGUGUGGAUGAAGUAGGCGGAAUUUGUGGUGUAGCGGUGAAAUGCAUAGAUAUCACGAGGAACUCCGAUUGCGCAGGCAGCUUACUAAACUACUACUGACGCUCAGGCACGAAGGCGUGGGGAUCAAACAGGAUUAGAUACCCU
rnacentral:rRNA from 1 species